GUACAAGAGCCAACAAUUGAUUUAAGUGACCCAAUUGACUAUGACACGGCAGUAAACAACAGACAUACGCUGAUACAUAAUAUAUUCCACCAUGUUCUACAUCGUCAAAUGAAUGACACCCGAAUGUGCAAGAAUGGCGAAAGCACAAAAUGCAAAUUGCUCGGGAUAAUAACGCGUGCAUUAAAUCCUGGGUUUAGAUAUACACAAGGAUGUAAUGAAGUAUUUAAUUGCAUUAUAGUAUUGGAGGGGACGAUUACGGCAGACGGCGUUUUGCCAACCUACGAGACACGAAUGGAGUAUUAUGUAGAUCUGCUACUUCCGUCAGGAUUGUAUAAAACAGAACUGGAGAGAGUUACAGAUUUAAUCUAAA